rnacentral:rRNA from 1 species
GAUGAACGCUGGCGGCGUGCCUAGUACAUGCAAGUCGAGCGAACGGACGAGAAGCUUGCUUCUCUGAUGUUAACGGCGGACGGGUGAGUAACACGUGGAUAACCUACCUAUAAGACUGGGAUAACUUCGGGAAACCGGAGCUAAUACCGGAUAAUAUUUUGAACCGCAUGGUUCAAAAGUGAAAGACGGUCUUGCUGUCACUUAUAGAUGGAUCCGCGCUGCAUUAGCUAGUUGGUAAGGUAACGGCUUACCAAGGCAACGAUGCAUAGCCGACCUGAGAGGGUGAUCGGCCACACUGGAACUGAGACACGGUCCAGACUCCUACGGGAGGCAGCAGUAGGGAAUCUUCCGCAAUGGGCGAAAGCCUGACGGAGCAACGCCGCGUGAGUGAUGAAGGUCUUCGGAUCGUAAAACUCUGUUAUUAGGGAAGAACAUAUGUGUAAGUAACUGUGCACAUCUUGACGGUACCUAAUCAGAAAGCCACGGCUAACUACGUG